rnacentral:snRNA from 1 species
AUUUCUGGCUCCUUUGCAUUUAACCGAGAAAACGCUUCGUCUUUUACUAAAGAUUUCCGUGCAAAGGUGCACUUUAUGAGUGUCAAAUAAUUUUCGAAUCUUCUCGAAAGGGCGGGAU